GACGAACGCUGGCGGCGUGCUUAACACAUGCAAGUCGAACGGAGAUUAUUAAUGAAGCUUGCGAUUUAAUAAUCUUAGUGGCGGACGGGUGAGUAACGCGUGGGCAACCUACCCAUAAGCGGGGGAUAACAGUUGGAAACGACUGCUAAUACCGCAUAAGCUAUUAAGGUCACAUGACCUUAAUAGUAAAGGUGGCGAUUUUACAUUGCUAUCACUUAUGGAUGGGCCCGCGUCUGAUUAGCUAGUUGGUGGGAUAGCAGCCUACCAAGGCAACGAUCAGUAGCCGGCCUGAGAGGGUGGACGGCCACACUGGGACUGAGACACGGCCCAGACUCCUACGGGAGGCAGCAGUGGGGAAUAUUGCGCAAUGGGGGAAACCCUGACGCAGCGACGCCGCGUGAGCGAAGAAGGCCUUAGGGUCGUAAAGCUCUGUUGUAAGGGACGAAUGUUUAUCUGGCGAACAGUCAGAUAAAGUGACGGUACCUUACCAGCAAGCCCCGGCUAAC
rnacentral:rRNA from 1 species